UGGGGAGCAAAUUGGCAAAAAACUAACCGUUUUUAGCCGUUUUUUUGGCUUAUUAAGGAGCUAGAAUAAACGGUAACAUUACCGUUAGCCCGCGGGCCGUGAUUGCGGGCCGGCACGGCGGGCCAUGGCCGUGCUCGUGCCGGGCCGUGCCUGGGAAUUCUCAACCCUGUCCGUGGCACGGCCCGUGGCACGGGAGUUGAACUUCGUGCCGUGCCGUGCUUGAAUUGCCAACCCGGCCCGUGCCCAGGAACUACUAUUCUCGUCUCUUUCUCUCCAUAGCUCUCCUCCAUUGAAGCGCAUUCUGCUGAGCUUUCUCACCUCCAUUGAAGCGCAUUCUGCUGAGCUUUCCAACUCCAUUGUAGCAGCUUCGAGUUGAUAUUAUAUCAACUAUUGAAUUUGACAAGACUGGGGAUCACCUUGCUACUGGAGAUCGUGGGGGCCAGGUUGUUUUGUUUGAGAGAACCAACAGAAAGGGUCCUGGUGGACCUAGAAGAGAUCUUGUUAAUAGGCAUCCUGAGUUUCGCUAUCAGACUGAGUUUUAGAGCCAUGAACCAGAGUUUGAGUACCUAAAGAGUUUAGAGAUUAAGGAGAAAAUUAAUAAGAUCAGAUGGUGUGAGAUGGCUAAUGGCGCACUAUUUCUUCUUUCCACUAAUGACAAAACCAUCAAAUUCUGGAAGGUUUCGGGAGAAAAGAAAAGAGAGAUGUUUGGUAACAAAACAGGUAUACUAUACGAAAGGAGGUUGCUCAAAGGAUGCACCGCAAGAAUGGCCAAUUUGCAUCUUUGAGAGAAGGUUCAGCAUCUUUCAAUUUGGAAGCUAAAAAGAACUUAGUGGUUGGUAGAAGCCUGGGACCAGAAACUGUUUCAAACAAGUGCCAGCAUUGUGGUAUUAGUGAAAAUGAUACACCAGCAAUGCGACGCGGACCAGCUGGUCCGAGAACCUUGUGCAAUGCUUGCGGACUGAUGUGGGCCAACAAGAAAUCUUGUUGGAGCCGAUUUGGGUGGUGAAUUGGGGCAUAGGAUUAUUCACAUCUAUUAAAUCAAUUCUUGCAGUCUUUUAUUGUUGAUCUGCACGAGAAGUUGACUGGCAUUAGCAUCUAUGGUGCAGUUAUGGACAUCUCUCGAGAAGCAAAUACUGCAAAAUCUAUAUUCAAUAUGAAGAUUUAAGAUCCAACAGGAGCUAUUUAUGUAAAGCUGCAUUUAAUGAAUCUUGGUAUUACUAAUUUGAAGUUUCGAAAAAUGUUUCUUCGUUAGAGGAUCAAUUUGUUUGUUGAUUUCUUCAAUCAUGUUCUUCAGGUCUUUAGGGAGAUUGAGUCUUGAUCACACUGUGUACAUCUCUGGUUUGACAUGUGCCAAG